UCUAAGCCACGAUGAAAUAAACCAGGUCGCCUGACGACAGCAGGUGACGGCACAGGAGGCACGAAAGACAUGUAACACAGACAGGACGUCCCAUCAUGUUCUCAUACAGAAUCAACUGGGUUCAAGCUGGAGUUGUGAAAUGUACAAUAGUUUCCAUUGUGUUUUUUUUUUUUUUCCAGAUAUCAUCUUUUUUUUGUAAGCAAAGUACGUGUUGGUACACUACAAUCGGAAUCUAAACGUUGCAUUCAUUAAAUACAUUAAAAUCUGCAAUGUAACAAAACUUUCUCUGCAUAUGAAAUUCUAGAACAGCAUUUACAUGAAAACAAAA